rnacentral:sRNA from 1 species
AAGUGCAUGUGGUGGAUGCCUUGGCAGUCAGAGGCGAUGAAAGACGUGAUAGCCUGCGAAAAGCUCCGGGGAGGCGGCAAAUAUCCUUUGAUCCGGAGAUAUCUGAAUGGGGGAACCCACCCGCUAUAAGGCGGGUAUCAAUAACUGAAUACAU